rnacentral:lncRNA from 1 species
CUAAAUAUAUGGAAAAAAAUGCAUUCAGAGAAAAAAAGAUAGUUCUUGGAAAUUAAAGACACAAUAGCAGACAUGAAAAACUCAACAGAGGCCAGGCACGGUGGCUCACACCAGUAAUCCCAGCACUUUGGGAGGACAAGAAAGGCAAAUUGCCUGAGCUCAGGAGUUCAAGACCAGCCUGGGCAACAUGGCGAAACCCUGUCUCUACUAAAAUACAAAAAAUUAGCCAGGCAUGGUGGCGUGCGCCUGUAGGCCCAGCUACUUGGGAGACUGAGGCAUGAGAAUUUGCUUGAACCCAGUAGACAGAGGUUGCAGUGAGCCCAGAUCGCACCACUGAACCCCAGCCUGGAUGAUAGAGUGAGACUAUCUCAAAAAAAAAACAAACAAAGCAAACAAACAAAAAACAUAAAAGCUCAACAGAAUGAGUAGAAAGUAAGAUUGAGAAAACCUUUCAAAUGAAGCAAAAAAAAAAAAAAAAAGACAAAAUAGGAGGAAAAAAAAAUCAAAAAUCUGGUCCAAGAGCUAUUUGAUUCAAACAAAAAGACUUCUAUAAAGAAAAAAAUCAAGAAAAUUGAAAGGGUCAAAAAUCAAAAGAAUUAUUUUUGAAAAAAUUUUCCUGUGUUUAAGAACAUGUAUUGACAGACUAAAAGGGUUACCAAGUGUCCAGCAAAGUGGGCAAAGCCAGACCCACAAGAAAACACAUCUCUAUAGAAUUCCCAAACUCUGGUAAUAAAAGGAAGACCCUCAAAGCUUCCAAACAGGAAACACAGAUUACAUGUGUGAGAACAUAAUCAAGGUGGCUUCACACUGAGCAACAACACUGGAAUGGUAAAGAUGAUGGAGAAUGUUUCUAAAAUUCUAAAGUAUUUCUAACAUAGAGUUCUAUACACAGCCAUGAUAUUUCUGGACAUAUAAAACCUCAAAAACAUUUACCUCCUGUGUCCACCUUUCUUAAGAAGAUGCUGAAAGACAUGUCCCAUAAAACUCAUUGAACCAAGAGAGGAAAAGAUAUGAGCUACAGGAAACAGGAGAUCUAACACAGAGAAUGGCAGGGCACAGGAUGACAGCUGUGCACAAUCAACCAAUCAGUACUGGAGCAGCCCGGUGGAGAGGCAGACGUAUUGAGGGCUAUUACUCCGAGAGAGACACUGUCACUCUAGCAGCUAUGUUAACCUAAGAACAGAGUGCCCUCAUGAGCCUGAACUGGCAUAUUACUUAAAUAUGGUCUAACCAUGUGCUGAUUAAGUUUCCACAUUACCUGCAGGAUUAUAAUGCUUUGGCCUACUCCUGAGAACUGGUAACAGGCUACAGUGAGUGUAGAACCAGGAAAUACAGGACAGCCCACUCCUGCUAUACCUCCUAUGCCUGACCCACAGGCAGAUGUGCUGAGCUAGAGACCUAGCGGGUCACACAAACAGUUCGGAAAGUUAAGACUAGCAUUUAAGCGCACACACACAAAGAAGUACACGCAUGAACAGGAAGUAUCUAAAGGACACUUGGAAUUGUUUCAGGUGCAUACUUGUAAAUAUACCUUAUCUGUGUACUGGGUUGCCGCAUAAAAUAAGCUGGGUGCAAAAAGGUUUGAAAGUCAUUGUACUAUCAAUAAUGUUCACAGCAACACUAUAAAAUAGCAAUUACUUGGCAGCAACCUAAAUGUUCCUAAAUAGCAGUCUAAGUUGUGGUAAAGACAACAAUGGAAUAUUAACAAGACCACGAAAAGGAGUAAGGUAUAGCUACAUGCAACAAUAUGUUAAUUUUAAGAACAUAAUUACAAGUUUUAUGAAGUAUAUUUAAAGCUUGAAACUAUACAAAACUACAGCUGGGGCAGGAGAAUCACUUGAACCCAGGAGCUGGAGGGUAAGGCAGGAGAAUCACUUGAACCCAGGUUGCAGUGAGCCGAGACAGUGCCACUGCACUCCAGCCUGGGUGACAAAGACUCUGUCUCAAAAAAAUAAAAAGAACGGCCUCUUACUCAUCAUCCUAAGUGCAAAUUUUCCAAACAAAAUACCAGAAAAUGAUAUGUAGCAGUUGAGUGUUUGAUAAUUGAAAACACACUCACACACUCUCACCACACCUCUCUCCAAUCCAAAAUGCCUCAAAGGCUCCAAGUCACUAAUCAUUCAAAACCUUCUAUGUGAUAUCUAAAUUUGAUAAUGGAAAAAAUAGCAUAAGCAGAUUAUUUAGAAAUAGAGGUAACUGCCAGAAGAGCCAAAUAAAGAUUUGAGGGGACACGGUCUCAGCCAGAGACAAUGGAAGAAAUAGGUACAAGAAAUUAUUGGUAUUUUAUUAUAAGACUUAUCAAACUAUUUGAAUUUUAAAACUAUAUACACAUGCUUUUUUGAAUAAAAUUAAAAAAAAAUGUUGAGGGUAAAAACCAACUCAACAUAACCCACCUUUCCCCUCCUCAGACCCUAUUAGGAAUCCAGUGCCUGGCCACCUCCCUGAAACCCUCAACAGUCAUGCCCUGAUUUACACUCUUGCCUCUGCCUAGAACACAAAUCUUGUCAAAGUAAACAUAACCACUCCCCAAAUUCCAACUCAAUUCUUCCUCUUUAAAGCUCCAAGCCAGGAAGAACUUUCUUGAGCACCUGUUAUAUCAUGUAUCUUCCUGUUCUCCAUUAAAUGUCAACAUUUGAUUUCAACCAAGUAAAGCCCUUGAGAUGAAGAAUCUGCCUGAAAUUUGUAUACUCUACAAAACCAUAAAUGAUAUAAUCUCAUAAUAUACUUCCUUGUCAGAAAAUAUUUGUAAUCAUUCCUUGUAACAAAAAUACACAUAUAACCAUAUACAUUCAAAAAUUUGCUAAAGCCAGUACUUGUUCCAAAUUAUUUAAAAUUUUAAUUAAAUUAGUUGGAAAUGCUGAAGAGCGCUAUGCGUCACUCAUGCUAUUUCAUGCAAAAUUAACCAAAUAGUUUAAAAGGCAGGUAGGUAGGAUUUACUUGGACUACAAUUUUAAAACCAAACUAAUUGAGACAAAAUACUGGAAGGAAAACAAGCUUUAUUCAGAAAGUAAUAUAACUUUAUGGGAAGAAUAGUAAUAUGAGCCAAAUCCAAGGAAUGUAUUGUUUAAAGCAGGCCUAGUGAGAUUUUAUCACUUACUCUUUGUGUAACACUUCUCAAGCACAGGCAAUCUUCGUCUUACUGCACUUCGUCUUUUUUUAAAUUUCUUAUAAUUUAAUUUUAUUUUAUAUGAGAUGGGGUCUUCUCCCAAAGUGCUGGGAUUACAGGCAUGAACCACCAUGCCCCACCUGCGCUUUUCAGAUACUGUGUUUCUUACAAAUUGAAGCUUUGUGACCACCCUGCAUCCAGCAAGUCUGUUGGUGCCAUUUUCCCAACAGCAUCUGCUCACUUCAUAUCUGCGUCACAUUUUGAUAAUUCCCACAAUAUUUCAAAGUUCAUUAUGAUUCUAUCUGAUAUGGUGAUCUAUGAUUAGUGAUCUUUGAUGUCACUAUUGUAAUUGUUUUGAGGUGCCACGAAUCAUACCCAUAAAUCAGUGUGUUCUGACUGCUCCACUGACCAGCCUCUCCCCUCCCUAACUUUCUACCUCUCCUCUGGCCUCCCUAUUCUCAGAGACACAUCCAUACUGAAAUCAGGCCAAUUAACCUUACAAUGGCCCCUAAGUGCUCAGGUGAAAGAAGAGUCUUAAAUCUCUCAAUUUAAAUAAAAAACUAGAAAUGAUUAAGAUUAGUGAGGAAGGCAUGUUAAAAACUAAGAUAGGCUGAAAGCUGGGCCUCUUGAACCAAACUGUUAACCAAGUUAUGAAUGCAAAGUCCUUGAAGGAAAUUGAAAGUGCUACUACAGUGAACACAACAAUGAAAAGAAAGCAAAGCAGCCUUAUUGCUGAUAAGGAGAAAGUUUUAAUGGCCUGGAUAGAAGAUCAAACCAGCCAAAACAUUUCCUUAAGCCAAAACCUAAUUCAAAGGGCUUAACUCUCUUCAGUUCUAUCAAGGCUGAGAGAGGUAAAGAAGCUGCAGAAGAAAAGUUGGAACCCAACAGAAGUUGGUUCAUGAAGUUUAAGGAAAAAGAAGCUGUCUCCAUAACGUAAAAGUGCAAAGUUAAGUAUCAAGUGCUGAUGGAGAAGCCCGGCCGAACAACAGAUUUUCAAUGUAGACAAAACAGCCUUCUAUUGGAAGAUGCCCAUCUAGACCUUUCACAGCUUGAGAGAUGUCAAUGCCUGGCUUCAAAGCUUCAAAUAACAGGCUGCUUCUCUUGUUAGGGGCUAAUACAACUGAUGAUGAGUUUAAGUUGAAGCCAAUACUCAUUUAACACUCUGGAAAUUGUAGGGCCCUUCAGAAUUACGCUAAAUCUACUUUGUCUGUGCUCCAGAAAUGCAACAAAGUCUGGAUGACAACACAUCUGUACACAGCAUGGUUUACUGAAUAUUUUAAGCCCAUAGUUGAGACGUACGGCUCAGGAAGAAAAAAUAUUACUGAUCAUUGACAAUGCACCUGGUCACCCAAGAACUCUAACAGAGAUUGCUGCUUUCAUACCUGUUAACACAAAAUCCAUUCUGCAGCCCAUGGAUCAAGGAGUCACUUUGACUUUCAAGUCUUAUUACCUUAGAAAUACAUUUCAAAGACUGUAGCUGCCACAGACAGUGAUUCCUCUGAAGGAUCUUGGCAAGGUAAACUGAAAACUUUUUAUCAUUCCAGAUACCAUUAAGAACAUUUCUGAUUCAUGGGACAAGAUCAAAAUAUCAACAUUAACAGGCAUUUGGAAGAAGCUGAUAUCAAUCCUCAUAGAUGCCAGAGGGGUUCAAACCUUCAGUGGAAGAAGUCACUGCAGAUGUGGUGGAAAUAGAAAGAGACCUAGAAAUAGAAGUGGAACCUAAAGAUGUGACUGAAUUGCUGCAAUCUCAUGAUAAAACUUUAACAGACGAGGAGUUGCUUCUUAUGGAUGAGGAAAGAAAAUGGUUUUUUGAGACAAAUCCACCCAACAAAGAUGCUCUGAACAUUGUUUAAAUGACAACAAGAGAUUCAGAAUAUUACAUAAACUUAGUGAAUAAAGCAGCAGCAGGGUUUGAGAAGAUGGACUCCAAUUUAAAGAUGUACUUACUACUGUGGGGCAGGGAGUGGUGGCCACCUGUAAUCCCAGCACUUUGGGAGGUAAAGGCAGGCAGAUCACCUGAGGUCAGCAAUUCAAGAACAGCCUAGGCCAAUAUGGUGAAACCCUGUCUCUACCAAAAAUACAAAAAUUAGCUGGAUGUGGUUGUGCAUGCCUGCAGUCCCAGCUACUCGGGAGGCUGAGGCAGGAGAAUCACUUGAACCUGGGAGGCGGAGGUUGCAGUGAGCCGAGAUUGUGCCAUUGCACUGCAGCCUGGGCGACAGAGCGAGACUCAAUCUCAAAAAAAUAAUAAUAAAAUAAAAAUAAAGAUGUUUUGGCAGGGCGCGGUGGCUCACACCUGUAAUCCCACAGCACUUUGGGAGGCCAAGGCGGGUGGAUCACUUGGGGUCGGGAGUUCAAGAACCUGGCCAACAUGGCAAAACCUCUUCUCUAGUAAAAAUACAAAAAUUAGCCAGGCAUGGUGGCAGGCGUGCGCCUGUAAUCCCAGCUACCCAGGAGGCAGAAGAAUCGCUUGAACCCAGGAGAUGGAGGUUGCAGUGAGCCAAGAUCAUGCCAUUGCACUCCAGCCAGGGUAUUAAGAGUGAGACUCUGUCUCAAAAAGCAAAAACAAAUAAAAAAGAUGUUUUACUGUGGGUGAAAAAUGCUCUUAAACACCAUCAUGUGCAACAGAGAAAUAUUGUGUAAAAGGAAGAGUCCACGGGUACAGCAGACUUCAUUUGUGUCUUAUUUUAAGAAACUGCCACAGCCACCUCAACCUUCAGCAACCACCACCCUAAUCAGUCAGCAGCCAUCAACAUCAAAGCAAGACCCUCCAGCAGCAAAAUGAUUAUGAUUUGCUGAAGGUAGAUUGUUAGCAUUUCCUAGUAAUAACGUAUUUUAAAAUUAAGAUAUAUACUGUGUUUUCUCAGACACAACGCUACUGUACACUUGGUAAACUACAAUGUAGUAUAAACAUAACUUUUUUUUUAGACAGAGUCUCACUCUGUCACCCAGACUGGAGUGCAGUGGCGCGAUCUCGGCUCACUGCAACCUCUGCCUCCUGGGUUCAAGUGAUUCUCCUGCCUCAGCCCCGAGCAGCUAGGAUUACAGGCAUGUGCCACCACACCCGGCUAAUUUUUGUAUUUUUAGUAGAGACAGGGUUUCACCAUGUUGGUCAGGCUGGUCUCAAACUCCUGAUCUCAUGAUCUGCCCGCCUCAGCCUCCCAAGGUGCUGGGAUUACAGGCGUGAGCCACUGCGCCCGGCCUAAACAUAACAUUUAUAUGCACUCGGAACCAAAAGAUUUAGGACUUGCUUUGCUGUGGUGGUCUGGAUCCCAGCCUUCACUAUCGCUGAGGUACACCUGUAUGAGCAAGUCUGCUAAUCCCUCAGCAGAGUAAAUGACAUCCCUUCUAACCCCAAAUAUCUUUAUACUAAAGAAACCUUUUUGACUCUCAGAUUAGUGGCUGCCAAAGAAGCUGAUGGAAAAAAAAAUAUUUGUUCAAUAAAUUAUUUGACUCCCUACUGGAUGCCCCACAUUGUUCUAACCUCAAUAGCAAUGAACAAAUCAGGCAAACAGCCUUGCCCUCCUCAUGGAGCCUAUAUUCUCAUUUGCAUGUGUGCAUUAGUGCCCAGGAGGAUGGAGGAAAGGGGCUAGGGAGAAAAACAAGUAAAAUGUAACACAGAAUAUGUGGUGUGUCAGAUGAUGAUAAAUGAUAUGGAGACAAGUCAGGGAGUGCACUGUGAAUAGAAGUUGUUAUUUGAAAUCAGUUAUUCAAGAAAGUCCUCACUGAGGUGACAUUUAAAUUGUUACGGAAGUCUUUCUCCAAAGAAUGGGAAACAGCAGAUGGGGGAAUUUUGUGGAAGGUCAGAGAGGGAAAGAGGGUUGAAGGUGGUGGGGUGGCAGAUUGGCUCAUAUAGGGCCCUCAGGCUUCAGCUUUUCCUUUAGGUGACACAGAAAACUGUGGGAGAGUUUUAAGUAGCAACAUGAUCAGACAUAGGUCUUAAAAGCUUCCCUCUCACUACUGUACUAAGAAUAAACAGCCUGACCGUUAAGGGUAGAGGCAGUCACCAGGGGGCAGGCUACCUCAACAAUCCACACCAAAGAUGAGCUGCUUUACUUGAGUGACAACAGUUAACUUGGUGAGUAGUCUGAUUCAGGAUAUAUUUUGAAGACAGAACAAAAAGAUUUUCUAUCUGACUGGAUUUGGGGUAUGAGAUAAAGAACAGAGUCAUGGAAGACUAAGAAUAUGGUCUGAAUUGUCACUUAUACUGAAAUCAGGAAGACUGUAAGAGGAACAGGUGUCAGUACCUGGAAAUAAAAGUCUACAGAGGUCUAGGGAAGGGUCUGAGUUGGAGAUACGUAAGUGUGAGAACACAGAAAGUUAUGAAAAGCCACAGAAUUGGACAAGAGGAAUGAAAAAGUUGGUAUAGACAGAGAAGAGGUCUAAGGGCUGGCAGUCACCCUCACCCCCAGGGUGAUUUAGUAUAUAUAUCUGAGUUAAGGCCCAGUCAUUUGAAUCCUUAACAAGCUUCCCAAGUGAUUCUGCUAUCCUUCAAACUUUGAAAACACCCACAGGCAAAUGUCAAGAUAACCUCAGGCUGAACUGCAGAAUUUUAACUUAACUAAGUUUAAUUUUAUUUAUAAUUUCGUAAGAUGAAAUCUAUACUUCUAAAUUCCAUGAAAAUUUUUCAUGAAAAAC